GAUGAACGCUAGCGGCAGGCUUAACACAUGCAAGUCGAGGGGCAGCAUACCCAGCAAUGGGUGAUGGCGACCGGCGGAAGGGUGCGUAACGCGUGAGCAACAUGCCCAUAUCAGUGGGAUAAUCCAGGGAAACUUGGUCUAAUACCACAUAGUAUCUUUAGAGACAUCUUUAAAAGAUUAAAGAUUUAUCGGAUAUGGAUUGGCUCGCGUGACAUUAGCUGGAUGGUAGGGUAACGGCCUACCAUGGCAAUGAUGUCUAGGGGUUCUGAGAGGAAGGUCCCCCACACUGGAACUGAGACACGGUCCAGACUCCUACGGGAGGCAGCAGUGAGGAAUAUUGGACAAUGGAUGGAAAUCUGAUCCAGCCAUGCCGCGUGCAGGAAGAAGGUCCUAUGGAUUGUAAACUGCUUUUGUACGGGAGCAAUAAGGGCUAUGCGUAGUUCGAUGAGAGUACCGUACGAAUAAGGAUCGGCUAACUCCGUG
rnacentral:rRNA from 1 species